AGUAGGAUAAAAUCGUGUUGGAGUGGAGUUCUGUGUGAGCGCUGUCUUUGAACCAAAUCAGUUCCACAACUGACCCUGUCAGGGACAUAUAAAUUUAGCAUUUCGGUGUGGAUACAGAAGACGAGAUUAACACAGAUCAAGUAACAUGGAAAUAAAAAAGGAGACAAUGCUGGAUGAUACGGGGGCAGCCAACAAGAAGAGAAAACCCAAGCAUUGGCAAACCCCUCAUUAUCCAAAGAACACUGGGCCUCAGAGUAUGUCAGCUGGGGUCAGACGGGAACAGGAGGCUGGCUCAACACACAUUUAUUGCACUCCUGCUUCAUGCCAAGAAAUGCACCAAAAUCUGGAAUUGUGUAACACAGCAAAGGAAAAGACUCAUCUCCAGGAAGCCCCCUUGUCUAGGAAGAGAAAUUGAAUAUCAGCAUAAGGUGGUGAAAAGCUGUGAAGGAGAUGAGUGCCACAAGUCCAUGGAGGAAGGAUUCUAGCCUGGACAGGUGAUAGUGGUGAAUAGUCAUGAGAAUCCGGGAACUGGCUCCUGCUCUGUCUAUCUUGGAGAUGCAUCUUUUGUGAGAGGCCAGGGCAAGAAUAGGGAGGCUUAGGCAAUGGGGAGUUUCUGAGUAGAUAAAGCAGAUGGCAG
rnacentral:lncRNA from 1 species